AACGCACGAGACCUGCGGACCUGCGGAGGGAUCAUUACCGAGGAUGGGGGUAUGUGGGGCGGCGAGGCCGGAGGGCGAGGCCGAAAGGCGAUGCCGAAAGGCGAUGCCGAAAGGCGAUGCCGGAGGGCGCAGCCAGCCACGUACACACUCGUGCUUGCUGGGGAGGCGUGGCUGGGAGUGGGGGAUUCUGGCGGCUCACGUGGCAGCACUGCCUGUGGGACACUGGAGUCUUCCUCUGCU
rnacentral:misc_RNA from 1 species